UCUCCGUAGGUGAACCUGCGGAGGGACCAUCACAGAGUUCUCGCCCUCGCGGGUAGAUCGCCCACCCACUGUCAUCGUUACUGUCGUUUCUUUGGCGGGCCGUCGGGUCUCCGGCCGCCGGCGUUUAAUAGGAGGCGCGAGCCCGCCAGAGGCCUUCGAACCCUAAAUGUUAGUGUUGGCUGAGUACUAUAUAAUAGUUAAAACUUUCAACAACGGAUCUCUUGGUACUGACAUCGAUGAGGAAC
rnacentral:misc_RNA from 1 species